GAUGAACGCUGGCGGCGUGCCUAAUACAUGCAAGUCUAGCGAACAGACGAGGAGCUUGCUCCUCUGACGUUAGCGGCGGACGGGUGAGUAACACGUGGAUAACCUACCUAUAAGACUGGGAUAACUUCGGGAAACCGGAGCUAAUACCGGAUAAUAUAUUGAACCGCAUGGUUCAAUAGUGAAAGACGGUUUUGCUGUCACUUAUAGAUGGAUCCGCGCCGCAUUAUCUAGUUGGUAAGGUAACGGCUUACCAAGGCAACGAUGCGUAGCCGACCUGAGAGGGUGAUCGGCCACACUGGAACUGAGACACGGUCCAGACUCCUACGGGAGGCAGCAGUAGGGAAUCUUCCGCAAUGGGCGAAAGCCUGACGGAGCAACGCCGCGUGAGUGAUGAAGGUCUUCGGAUCGUAAAACUCUGUUAUUAGGGAAGAACAAAUGUGUAAGUAACUAUGCACGUCUUGACGGUACCUAAUCAGAAAGCCACGGCUAACUACGUG
rnacentral:rRNA from 1 species